CUUUUACCUAAAACAGGAUCUAGAGUAAAAUUUAAAAAAAAACUGGAAGCUCAUAAAAUCGUAACACUUGAGGUUACUUUUUCUCCACAAAUCCUAUCUUUAAAUGAAAAUAAGGUUGAAACACAAAUUCUUUUUUGAUGAAGAUAAGAUUGAAACCAUCGUUGUAUCAAACAUUGAAGAAAAUGACUCAUCUCAGCACUUUCUGAACACUUCUGCCAAUAUUAUUAAAAAUGUUACUUCUUCUAGCAGCUUGGAAGAAGAAAUUCAAAAAGACUGUCUUCAAUCUAAUCUUGCACAUACACUACUAAGUAAAGAGAAAGAAACAACAAAUGAUAUUCUCAAAAUCAUUGAAAUAGAUCUGGAUGCAAAAGCUGCAUACCAAGUUUUAAACAAUUCUAAUUGUGAAAAGAAGGAUGCAGCAAGAGCUAAACUUUAUGCAUCCUAUUACAAAACAUGAACUUACAAAGAAUUCUGU